rnacentral:tRNA from 1 species
UGUUGUGUGGCAUAGUUGGUAAAAGCGUCAGACAAGCGACACGGAGUGAUGGGUUCAAAUCCUACCACAACAA